UACAGAGGGGGCAAGCGUUAUUCGGAAUUAUUGGGCGUAAAGGGCGCGUAGGCGGCUUGGCAAGUGGAAGGUGAAAUCCCUCGGCUUAACCGAGGAACUGCCCUCCAAACUGCUUCGCUUGAGACCGGGAGAGGUGAGUGGAAUUCCCAGUGUAGCGGUGAAAUGCGUAGAUAUUGGGAGGAACACCAGUGGCGAAGGCGGCUCACUGGACCGGUACUGACGCUGAGGCACGAAGGCCAGGGGAGCAAACGGG
rnacentral:rRNA from 1 species